rnacentral:rRNA from 1 species
UCGAGAAUAAUUCACAAUGGACGAAAGUCUGAUGGUGCAACGCCGCGUGGAGGAUGAAGGUCUUCGGAUUGUAAACUCCUGUCAUUUGAGAGCAAGACCUGGCGGUGAAUAGCCGACAGGGUUGAUAGUAUCGAAAGAGGAAGGGACGGCUAACUUCGUGCCAGCAGCCGCGGUAAUACGAAGGUCCCGAGCGUUGUUCGGAAUCACUGGGCGUAAAGGGAGCGUAGGCGGCAUGGUAAGUCAGGUGUGAAAUCCCGGGGCUCAACCCCGGAACUGCACCCGAUACUGCCUUGCUAGAGUAAUGGAGGGGUAGCUGGAAUUCUCGGUGUAGCAGUGAAAUGCGUGGAUAUCGAGAGGAACACUUGUGGCGAAGGCGAGCUACUGGACAUUUACUGACGCU